AAUUCCGAGGAGCGUUGCGACGAAAGAUUCCUCUUUCGCCAGGCUCGGAUCAUCAACACCGCGCUCACGUUAC
rnacentral:ncRNA from 2 species